CUUUGAUUUAUAUUAAGGUUAUAAACAAAAAAGUUUCUUUUAGUACAAACCUCGGCGGUUUAUGUUGAUAAAUGUGUUUUUUAGUACUAUAAAUCUAUGGAGACUUUUAUUAAGUCGAAUUCAUUCAACACUCGGAUACGUUCACAUUUUAUUGUUAAUUGUAUUAUAUUGCUGUCUCCAAACAAUUGAUGUUUAUUGAAAGAGAAUAUAAAACAUAUUUACGUCUAAACGCAGUCUUAUAAAGUAUAGUGCAACUCUCUAUUUUAUGUUAGUGCCAACUGGCAACAAAUUAUUUUUUAUUGUCAUCUUGAUGUUUUGGAAUUGCAUUAUAUGUGUAUGUGUUUUUCAAUAUUACUCCUCCCAGUGCCAGAAUGAGAGGAUUAUUUACAUUUAAAGGGUGGAAUACCACCGAAAUCAUGCAAAAUAAUGACAUGUUACCCUAUGGAAGUUUAUUGCUGGGAUAGAAUUCUAGUAAAAAAGUAUAUGUGUUAAAGGAACACUCCAUAACCACUACAGCCAGGGCCGCCACCAGGGGGUGACAGCCAUGAUGGUUGUCACGGGCCCGGUGUUCUUGCGGGACCCGGACUGCACUGGCAAUCCUCUGCAUGUCUGAGCCCUGCCCUCCGAUGUGCAUAUAUAUAUAUAUAUAUAUAGUGUGUACCACUAUAUAUAUAUAUAUAUAUAUCUGCAGGCCCUGCUGGCUUCCAAGAUGGGCCCAGGAUUCAUUGACCUCCACCUACAGCACUAUCGCAAGCCGCGGCUGUAAAUUGUUGCUGUGGGUUGCCAUGACAAUGCCCCACGGCACGCAAUGCAUGCUGGGCUCACAACAGAAGUAGAGCACUGGCUGCUGGAGGUGAAGAUGGAAACUGCUGGGCCCCUCUUUGCUGGCCCAACCAGUUGAGCCACCGGACCACCAGGAAAUCCAGUGUCUACCCCACAGCAGCAUUUGUACAACAUAAAUACACAUCCACUACACACACACACAUCAUCCAACACAUAAACUACAUCCACUACACAAACCCACACAUCACCCACUACACAAACACACACACACAGCAUCCACAACACAAACAUACACACACAGUAUCCACCACAUAAAUACACAAACUGCACCCACUACACAAACACACACUGCAAUUAACAUACACACAGCAUCCACUACACAAACACACACUCUACAUUCACUAUACACACUCUGCAGUCACUAUACACACUGCAUCUAAUACACGCUAACACUACAUAUACAACAAAAACAUACCCUCUAAAUUCACUAUACACACUCUACAUCCACUAUAUACACCACACUACAUCCACUACACAAACAUGCAUUCGGCAUUCACUAUACACACACUACAUCUACUACACAAACAUGCAGUCUGCAUUCACUAUACACACGAUACAUCCACUACACACACACACACACUCUGCAUUCACUAUAAACACUACAUCCACUAUACAAACACAUACUCUAUCCACUACACAAACACACUCUGCAUCUAAUAAACAAACAUACAACCUGCAUCCACUAUAAACAUCACAUCCACUUUACUCACACACUUUGCAUCCACUACACACAUUCUAUAGCCACUAUACACACACACUUCAUCCUCAUGGAAUGAAUCAGAAUGGGCACUGUGGGUGGAUUUAGGGGUGGGACAUGUGGGCGGACUUGAGGCGGGUCAUGUGCAUGGGCUUGGGGAUGGGCCCCGUGACCUGAAUUUCAAAAUAGGGGAGUAAGAAUAGUACUCCAUCUCAGUUAUUGUCACAACUUGGGCUGCAUCACGUGCCCCAAAAUUUCUGGUGGCAGCCCUGACUACAGCACAAGCGUACCUUGGCUUCCCCUCUAAUGUAAGUAGUCAAAUAUUUUAAAACAAUUGGACUUCUCACUUGGGGUCCACUAAACACUGCUCCAGUCUCUAAUACAGCUACAUAAGAGCUACACUUUCUGAGUUAAGCCUGGCAAUGCAGGGCUUUCCUUAUUGGCUGAGAGGGAUUAGCUCAUGGAGGAGUUUUUAGCUCUCUGAAGGCUGUAGUGGAGGCACGGUGAACCACAGGGAAGAAGUAAAACUGUUAUAAAACAGUUUAACUAGUUACAAAACAGAGGAUCCAGAGCAUGUCUGGUACAGUAAUCACUACAAGGUGCUGUGGUGCUUACAAUUUUGCUUUAAGAAAUUCUGGGAUGUAGCUAAGGCUCUCACUAAUAACAAAGAAAGUAAAAUAAGUAUAAAUAUAUAAGCAAAACAUAACUCAGAUGCUGACUAUAGUGUUUGUGAGAUCAUGCCAUUUCCAGGCUGUUUUUAAUAAUGCAAUAUUUAUACAUCUCCUGAUAUAAAUGAAUAACCCAAAAUAUAACAUUUACAAAAUGGACUUUGAGAGAUUUAAGUAAUUUUAUUUCAGAAUAAUUCUAGCAACUGUGUCCGUAUGCUGAAAUAAUUACUUUAAAUACAUCUAAAAUGGCUUGACUACUUACAAUGGGGUGGGUGCCAAGACACUCCUUGCAACAUCACCACUACUAUGCACUGUUGUGUUUAUGGUGCUUGGUGUGUUCCUUUAAAGAACACAAAUGAAAGUAUUUAGAAAAUUGGACAGACUAUAUGGGCAGAAUGGCUCCGAUCUGCCAUCACAUUCUAUGUUUCUAUAUUUGGAGCUAACAUAUUAAAGUUAAUCAAAACUCACUAACAAGGAUAAUGGUUCCAAAAUCAGUUUUCACACAUCCAAACCAUUUCAAGAGUUAAGGAUUUCCCAGUCUUUCUAUUUUUUUCACAAUUAUAAAACCUGAAUCAUUGAGGUGAAGAAAGUCUAGAAGUGAAAAAUAAUAAUUGUUUAGCUCGAUUUGUCGACAGACCAAUUUAAGAUAAGUAAAUAUUUUGUUGCGGUAUUAACUUUUACUUGUAUGUAGAGUUGAAAUAUAAUUCUAUGUGUGCGUAGAAUUAAAAAUAAACCACUAGACUAAAGAGGAGCAAGAGCUCAAAAAAGGGAUGUACCACCCAUAAUCCACUGCGCAAACCAGAAAUAUCAUAGACCAGUAAUAUCUUCUCAUUUGAUAAGACAACCACAGUAAUGUCCAAACUAUUUAUGAGCCAGGAACAAAACCCUCCCUUGGUUAUCCAUAAUCUGAAAUAAUAUAAAUUAACCUGAAUGUAAGUCUUGACUAAGAUAGGCCUUGAUUUAAUACCGUUGGUUCGAUAAGCAUUUCAAAUGAUUUCAAAUCUUUGGAUAAACUUUUAAAAUUAUUUUUUCAAAAUAUUAAAAUAUCAAAAUAUAUCUCAAAUAUAAAAUUGUAUCAAAAUAUUCCAAAUGUAAAAUAUUUUUAAAAAUAUUAAAUCAUUUUAAGUGUAUCCAAAAAUAUUAACUUGAGG